GACGAACGCUGGCGGCGUGCUUAACACAUGCAAGUCGAACGGACAGGCCCUGAUCUUGUGGGGUGCUCGAGUGGCGAACGGGUGAGUAACACGUGAGUAACCUGCCCUUGACUUUGGGAUAACUUCAGGAAACUGGGGCUAAUACCGGAUAGGAGCUCCUGCUGCAUGGUGGGGGUUGGAAAGUUUCGGCGGUUGGGGAUGGACUCGCGGCUUAUCAGCUUGUUGGUGGGGUAGUGGCUUACCAAGGCUUUGACGGGUAGCCGGCCUGAGAGGGUGACCGGCCACAAUGGGACUGAGAUACGGCCCAGACGCCUACGGGAGGCAGCAGUGGAGAAUAUUGCACAAUGGGCGGAAGCCUGAUGCAGCAACGCCGCGUGCGGGAUGACGGCCUUCGGGUUGUAAACCGCUUUCGCCUGUGACGAAGCGUGAGUGACGGUAAUGAGUAAAGAAGCACCGGCUAACUACGUG
rnacentral:rRNA from 1 species